rnacentral:snoRNA from 1 species
GGUCAGUGAUGAACAGUAAAAGGUCUGAUUACCCACAGUCCUCUUCUGCUGGCCUCUGGCUCCCAGCAGCCCCUGCUCUCUGCUCCCAUCAUGCUCUAGUGGUGCCAUGAUGGUCCCAGGAGCUGCUGACAGACAGGAAUUAACAUCACAGUGUGGGUCUGUACAGAGGUCCUACAGGCUCAGUGUGAUUGACAUCCAACAAAACCAAUCAGUGGGGAGCGUCAGGCUGAAGAGGACGAGGGAGUUGAUCUCAAGUUUUCAAGCUGAGACC